rnacentral:rRNA from 1 species
CACGUAGGGCGCAAGCGUUGUCCGGAAUUUAUUGGGCGUAAAGAGCUCGUAGGCGGUCUGUUGCGUCCGCUGUGAAAACCCGGGGCUUAACCCUGGGCUGGCAGUGGAUACGGGCAGACUGGAAGUACUGCAGGGGAGACUGGAAUUCCUGGUGGUAGCGGUGGAAUGCGCAGAUAAUCAGGAGGAACACCGGUGGCGAAGGCGGGUCUCUGGGCAGUAACUGACGCUGAGGAGCGAAGCGUGGGGAGCGAACAGG